rnacentral:ncRNA from 1 species
CUCAACGGAUAAAAGGUACUCCGGGGAUAACAGGCUGAUACCGCCCAAGAGUUCACAUCGACGGCGGUGUUUGGCACCUCGAUGUCGGCUCAUCACAUCCUGGGGCUGAAGUCGGUCCCAAGGGUAUGGCUGUUCGCCAUUUAAAGUGGUACGCGAGCUGGGUUUAGAACGUCGUGAGACAGUUCGGUCCCUAUCUGCCGUGGGCGUUGGAUGUUUGAGAAGAGCUGCUCCUAGUACGAGAGGACCGGAGUGGACGACCCUCUGGUGUUCCGGUUGUCACGCCAGUGGCAUUGCCGGGUAGCUAUGGUCGGACGGGAUAACCGCUGAAAGCAUCUAAGCGGGAAGCCCCCUUCAAGAUGAGACAUCCCUGAGACCUAGAGUCUCCUAAAGGGCCCAGCGAGACCAGCUGGUGGAUAGGCACGGUGUGGAAGCGCUGCAAGGCGUUGAGCUAACGUGUACUAAUGGCCCGUGAGGCUUGACCCU